UUUCUUUGUAUUGGUUUCAUCAAAUUUUUCUUUCCAUUUUCCUAUUCCAUAGUCGAGUUAAAAAUACAAAAUCAAAGACAGGUCCAGAUUCAGAAUGAGAUAAUAAACGAGUAGGGAAAAAGAACAAUAAGAUCAUCAAAAUAAAAUUCGACUGGGUUUCUUAUUUUUCUUCACCUUUGAAAUAAAUUGCAUUCACAAGAACAGCCCUAA
rnacentral:ribozyme from 13 species